rnacentral:rRNA from 1 species
CCAGUACCGUGAGGGAAAGGCGAAAAGAACCCCGGCGAGGGGAGUGAAAAAGAACCUGAAACCGUGUACGUACAAGCAGUGGGAGCCCCACCACUAAGCCAGUGGUGAACUCCACAUACGCAUCCUUUGCUGAGGAUACGGUUAACGGAGCGAAAGCGACGUUCAACCGCAAAAGAAGCAGAGGGGGCUUAGUGGUGGGGUGACUGCGUACCUUUUGUAUAAUGGGUCAGCGACUUAUAUUCUGUAGCAAGGUUAACCGAAUAGGGGAGCCGGAGGGAAACCGAGUCUUAAUUGGGCGUUAAGUUGCAGGGUAUAGACCCGAAACCCGGUGAUCUAGCCAUGGGCAGGUUGAAGGUUGGGUAACACUAACUGGAGGACCGAACCGACUAAUGUUGAAAAAUUAGCGGAUGACCUGUGGCUGGGGGUGAAAGGCCAAUCAAACCGGGAGAUAGCUGGUUCUCCCCGAAAGCUAUUUAGGUAGCGCCUCGUGAAUUCAUCUCCGGGGGUAGAGCACUGUUUCGGCUAGGGGGCCAUCCCGGCUUACCAACCCGAUGCAAACUGCGAAUACCGGAGAAUGUUAUCACGGGAGACACACGGCGGGUGCUAACGUCCGUCGUGAAGAGGGAAACAACCCAGACCGCCAGCUAAGGUCCCAAAGUCAUGGUUAAGUGGGAAACGAUGUGGGAAGGCCCAGACAGCCAGGAUGUUGGCUUAGAAGCAGCCAUCAUUUAAAGAAAGCGUAAUAGCUCACUGGUCGAGUCGGCCUGCGCGGAAGAUGUAACGGGGCUAAACCAUG